GAUGAACGCUGGCGGCGUGCCUAAUACAUGCAAGUCGAGCGAACAGACGAGGAGCUUGCUCCUUCGACGUUAGCGGCGGACGGGUGAGUAACACGUAGGUAACCUACCUAUAAGACUGGGAUAACUUCGGGAAACCGGAGCUAAUACCGGAUAAUAUAUUGAACCGCAUGGUUCGAUAGUGAAAGACGGCUUUGCUGUCACUUAUAGAUGGAUCUGCGCCGCAUUAGCUAGUUGGUAAGGUAACGGCUUACCAAGGCAACGAUACGUAGCUGACCUGAGAGGGUGAUCGGCCACACUGGAACUGAGACACGGUCCAGACUCCUACGGGAGGCAGCAGUAGGGAAUCUUCCGCAAUGGGCGAAAGCCUGACGGAGCAACGCCGCGUGAGUGAUGAAGGUCUUCGGAUCGUAAAACUCUGUUAUUAGGGAAGAACAAACGUGUAAGUAACUAUGCACGUCUUGACGGUACCUAAUCAGAAAGCCACGGCUAACUACGUG
rnacentral:rRNA from 1 species